rfam:Haematospirillum jordaniae strain H5569, complete genome.
CGAACCUGACCGCGUUGUGGCAAAUUCCACAGCCGGGUUUGACAGCCCGCAUA